CUCGGGCUAGCGUGAGUCCUCCUUGGCCAAAAUAUUAUUAUUACUUUUUUUGGACAAGGCCAAAAUAUUUUUAUAUCAGAUUUAUUUGGUGGUAUCAAAAUAAUAAUUCUGAUUUUUUUUCUUUUUUUUUUUGGGAUUUGCAGCAUUUAAAUUCGGGCACUACACUAAAAAGUCACUAGCUAACAAAGUAACAAGUAACAACAAUACUAUUGUUUUCAUUGUGUGAGAAAAUAUCAAAAUAAGCUCUCUAAUUUUUUUUAUAACUCACUAUGAUUAAAAUCAAAUGUCAAAUUAUUAUUUUAUACAUUAUUUUUUGAUAAAGCAAAUUAAUUCAUAC
rnacentral:lncRNA from 1 species